UGGGGAAUUUUGGACAAUGGGCGCAAGCCUGAUCUAGCAAUGCCGCGUGCAGGAAGAAGGCCUUCGGGUUGUAAAGCUCUUUUGUCAGGGAAGAAACGGUGAGAGCUAAUAUCUCUUGCUAAUGACGGUACCUGAAGAAUAAGCACCGGCUAACUACGUGCCAGCAGCCGCAGUAAUACGUAGGGUGCAAGCGUUAAUCGGAAUUACUGGGCGUAAAGCGUGCGCAGGCGGUUUUGUAAGUCUGAUGUGAAAUCCCCGGGCUCAACCUGGGAAUUGCAUUGGAGACUGCAAGGCUAGAAUCUGGCAGAGGGGGGUAGAAUUCCACGUGUAGCAGUGAAAUGCGUAGAUAUGUGGAGGAACACCGAUGGCGAAGGCAGCCCCCUGGGUCAAGAUUGACGCUCAUGCACGAAAGCGUGCGGAGCAAACA
rnacentral:rRNA from 1 species